CAUUCCAAUUUUCAUACAAUUCAUGUCAUUUAAAACAAAACUAAACGAAAAGAUAAAUAAAGAGGAACCUAUUUGUUAGUGUCGGUCAUGCUUUUAGUCGCGGUAUUCGUCCCACUUUUAGUCGGACUUUUAGUCGCUUUUUUGCCAACAUUUUCGACAUUUGAAUCUCUUGUAGUAGGCGUGAUUAUGUUGUCGUGUUCUUGGCUCGACUGACCCUAAUGUAAAAAAAAAUUGAAAUUACAAAGAAAAUAUGAAUAUUGAUUUAUAUAUAAAUGCUAAUUACCUCAAUCGUCUCUCGACGUAAGUCUUCCCUUAGUUCCUUUAGUAUAUCCGGCAUCUGUUUUCUAACGGCCUCUUGAACUGCCCGAUCAAAGUCUUCUAUACUUUUUUGUUGUUGAAUUUCUAUAUAAUUCGUCGUUGUGUUCUGUGAAGUCGCCAUAUUAUCAGGAAUUUUAAACCAAUACAAUUAGUUUUUAAACCAAUACAAUUUUAAAGCUAAGGAUUUUCCCAUGGAAUUAAUAAAAUAUCCAAUAAAACAACAUGGGAAUUAAUAUAAGUAUAUCUAUUAUAAGAUUUCCAAAUAACAGAGAAAUCUUUGAGGAAAAUAUGGACAUGUGCUAUUUGAGAAAUCUUCCAAAUAACUGAAUACGUAUUGUAUUGGGAAAUUAUUGUAUUUUUUACAAGAUUAAUACUGAAUACGUACUGAUCAUAAAAAUAUAUUGAUCUACAGACCAAAAUCCGUGGCUAAAUCCUUGAAACAGAGUGGAAAGUGAAGGGACACGGCCAAAAUCCGUGGCUAAACCUUAACUGGCUGUGGCUAUAUCCUUGAAACAGAGUGGAAAGUGAAGGGCCACGGCCAAAAUCCGUGGCUAAAUGCCAAAAGGCCGUGGCUAAUUUCUAAAAUAUUUAUAGGAAAUAUUUACAUUUUAGAAGACGCCUAUUGAAGGUCUUACACAUUCGUAUAACCUGAAAAAAGCAUUCAAACAUAUAUUCAUACACAUUUUAUUCAUACACAUUCCAUUCAUACACAUUCCAUUCAUACACAUUCCAUUCAUACACAUUCCAUUCAUACACAAAUAUCCAUAAAAAUUAUGCAAAACAAUGAACCAAUCAACCAAAAAAUUCCAAAACAUUCCAUUCAAUUCUAUACCAUUCCAAAAGAUAAAAGAAAAGGAAUGAAUUCUAAACCAUUCUAAACCAUUCUAUACAAUUCCAAAACAUACCAUCACUUCCAUACCAUUCCAAUUUUCAUACAAUUCAUGUCAUUUAAAACAAAACUAAACGAAAAGAUAAAUAAAGAGGAACCUAUUUGUUAGUGUCGGUCAUGCUUUUAGUCGCGCUAUUCGUCCCACUUUUAGUCGCUUUUAGUCGCUUUUUUGCCAACAUUUUCGACAUUUGAAUCUCUUGUAGUAGGCGUGAUUAUGUUGUCGUGACCCUAAUGUAAAAAAAAUUUGAAAUUACAAAGAAAAUAUGAAUAUUGAUUUAUAUAUAAAUGCUAAUUACCUCAAUCGUCUAUCGACGUAAGUCUUCCCUUAGUUCCUUUAGUAUAUCCGGCAUCUGUUUUCUAAUGGCCUCUUGAACUGCCCGAUCAAAGUCUUCUUUACUUUUUUGUUGUUGAAUUUCUAUAUAAUUCGUCGUUGUGUUCUGUGAAGUCGCCAUAUUAUCAGGAAUUUUAAACCAAUACAAUUAGUUUUUAAACCAAUACAAUUUUAAAGCUAAGGAUUUUCCC
rnacentral:lncRNA from 1 species